CAAAGAAAAACUUAGGGCAAAAAAAAGUCUCACGCCGCCGCCGCCAUCGUUUGCCCGCGCAACCGCCCUUCCCGCGACGCCCUACCAGGCUACCACAACAGGACCUGCCCAGGCGUGCUCUUGCUUCACAGGUCUUCCCUGUUGGCCCUCCCCUUGGCCCCAUAUUUGUCCUCGAUUCGCCUCUGCUCGACGAAGGACGGCAGCAGCCUCGACCAAGGACUGUAGAGGUGGAUCCAUGAUCUACCAGCCCCGGUAAGGACGUAUGAGGAUGGUGGCGCCGUGAUGUGGGACGAGGAUCAAGGGCCGGGCACCUACGAGGAUGGAUGGGAUCGACUUGCUGUCGAGGAAAGACGAGAUCAAAUAGCAGUUAUCUUUUCGGAGGGACGGAUCGACCCCACUGUCAAGAUAUGGAUGCAGGCAUCUUCCAUGCGUGGUUUCGCAUAUGCUUGAGCUGUAAGCUCUCUACUAGCUCUAUAAAAUUGCUGAUUCAUUUGGUGAUUUAUCUUUGUUACUGAUCAUCGUAGUGCUUAUCUAAUGAUAUUAUGAUAAUGGAGCUUAUUUCAGUUAGAAACGUUGUUAGCUCUUCCUCUCAUGUAGUCUUUCUUGUACGCGUGGAUGGGGCUGAACAUUCAAAUUGUUUCAUAUAAUCUUCCCUAUGAUGACUUCAGGCUGCAUGGCUCCACUGUGUACUCUGUUUUGCAAAGAUUCCAUAGGCAGGUUUGGCUAUGCAGGUUUCUCCUGUACAUAUGUAGCUCGGGUCAAUUUAGAGCUUUGGUAGCCGUUACCGGAGCUACAAGAAACCACCAUGUCUUCUAUGUCAUUCUGACAACUUGGCUGCUGCAACAACUCGCUGCUGGUCAUGAUUGACUCUUGUGUUAAAGGUGUGAUCUUGAUAUGGCCACUUAUCAAUCUUGUGCUGGUUCAUGGUGAUGAUUCCAAUAUGAUAUGUGAUUUAUUCGGUUUAUGGCUAAGGAAGUGAUGAUUUUAUUACCUCUUAGAUGCACAACAUUUCACACUUGACAUCAGGAUGAGGCAUAUGCCCAAUCCACUUCUGUCCUGACCUGGAACUGUACCCACCAGCUAUACAUUGUGCAAUAUUAAUCCUCAUAUUUCAUGAGAUUUUGUUCAAAUUGCAAUUUCGGGUCUGUCGGCUAUACCGUCAACUGGUGAUUUAUUUUUUAAGUAUUCCAUCUGUAAUGAAAUAUAAGAGCGUUUAGAUCACUACUUUAGUAAUCUAAACGCCGUCAUUUUUCUUUAUGGGGAGUACGUUCUUAUUCCUUUUCAAUUAUUUUCUCUUGAUGCUCUAGGCUUUAGUUGAACUCUUAACAUAUGUUUUUCUAUUUGAUUCCGAUCUCUCUGCCAUUACAUGGGACAUUGGGCAUAUAUCACACAUUGUUUUGGUAGCAGUUAUAGUUGAUUAUUAUCAAUAGUCAGCUCUAAAACAUCUGGAAUGGCUCAAGCACUAUUUAAAGUGUUGCUUACGAGUCCCCCCACGAAGAUACCUAUCAACAACUCUGCUUUGUACUGUUACUUCUGUAGCACUGAAUGCCAUGCUAAAUCUUACUAUUUUGCAGGAUAACGUCCCUGAGUAUAUAAACCUGUUAGCUUUCCUUAAUUGUUUAGAGAAAGAUAAUAGUGAUUGCGUUGGCACUGCUCAUGCCAUCCUAUCUUACAUGAUUUUGUUGGAUGGUUCAGUUAUUGUGAUUUCUCAAGUUAGGCAUGGUAUGUUUCCUCAACAUUUGGGUGUGUGUUUGUUUUUGGCUGUGCCUAAAUAUUGGUGUUUAUAUCGCAACGAAGUUGAUGCAUUACAAAAUUUCGGAUUUUCUCUAAUUUAAUGGCAUUGUCUCCUCCUUGUAGAAGAUGGUUCUAGGUGGGCUACUGAAACAACGGCAAUAUUCCAAGAAGGCUAAGAACAAUUGGAGAGCACAAGGAACAUAUUCCUAAUCAGCCAACAACCUUCUUUGAUACAUUAUUUGUUCAUCGGAAGUCCAUGAAGAAGGAUGGAUACAGCAGAUGCAGAGAUCUAUAUGUUGUUUCCGGGCAUAUUGGAGAUGUCACAAUAAAUGUUCAACCUUGUUAUCUGCAGGCAAAUAAAUGAUUGUCUUGCUUGGUUUUGGAUUAUUAGAAGUUCCAGUCAUGUCAUGAAUCAUGAGUAAGUUUGUAAAAUUCUUUCUUAUGAGGCCUGAUAGAUUGUCAUUCAGUAUGCCGCUGCCACUUAGUAAUGUAACCUCAUAAGAGGUGGAGAGUAUUUAUUCUCAGGAUGAGAGCAAUAAUUAGAUUUUCCUUUAAUGCUAAAACAUUAUCUUGGAUUUUUGUAUAAAAUAAUAUGACUAAUGUUACUCUUUGUUCUCUAUUAUAAUAUAUAGAUAUGGGAGUUAUCUUAGAAAACCCAAUUACGAUAAUCGAAUAAGGAGAUUUGUAAACAUGUUUUUUAUAUGAAUUUCAAGGUCUUAACAUGCAUGAAUGAUCUUACCGGAUGAUGCUGACUUAUUUUUGUAAAUUUGAACGUAAUUCAUCAUACUACAUCAGUAAGAAGCAUAUAUGAUUUCAUUCCUACUGUUUGCUAUUUGUGUACCACAUCUCUACUACUAAUAAACAAUCAAACUUUUUCUUUCUUAAAUACACCCCAGGAAAUGUACACAGCUAGAUUAGCACCAUCAGAUCAUCCCUCUUAAGUAAAUCUUAACCGUCAGGAUUAAUCCAAUCCUGAGACGGUGUGCACUUAGCAAUUACCGCAGGCUGACCGUGCUCCACCGGGUGAAGAAAUAUCUCCGUCAUACGUCUGCAACCGCUCAGCGCCAAAUGACCCGCAAAGAAAAACUUAGGGCAAAAAAAAGUCUCACGCCGCCGCCGCCAUCAUUUGCCCGCGCAAUCGCCCUUCCCGCGACGCCCUACCAGGCUAACACAACAAGACCUGCCCAGGCGUGCUCUUGCUUCACCGGUCUUCCCUGUUGGCCCUCCCCUUGGCCCCAUAUUUGUCUUCGAUUCGCCUCUGCUCGACGAAGGACGGCAGCAGCCUCGACCAAGGACUGUAGAGGUGGAUCCAUGAUCUACCAGCCCCGAUAAGGACGUAUGAGGAUGGUGGCGCCGUGAUGUGGGACGAGGAUCAAGGGCCGGGCACCUACGAGGAUGGAUGGGAUCGACUUGCUAUCAAGGAAAGACGAGAUCAAAUAGCAGUUAUCUUUUCGGAGGGACGGAUCGACCCCACUGUCAAGAUAUCCAUGCGGGCAUCUUCCGUGCGUGGUUUCGCGUAUGCUUGAGCUGUAAGCUCUCUACUAGCUCUAUAAAAUUGCUGAUUCAUUUGGUGAUUUAUCUUUGUUACUGAUCAUCGUAGUGCUUAUCUAAUGAUAUUAUGAUAAUGGAGCUUAUUUCAGUUAGAAACGCUGUUAGCUCUACCUCUCAUGUAGUCUUUCUUGUACGCAUGGAUGGGGCCGAACAUUCAAAUUGUUUCAUAUAAUCUUCCCUAUGAUGACUUCAGGCUGCAUGGCUCCACUGUGUACUCUGUUUUGCAAAGAUUCCAUAGGCAGGUUUGGCUAUGCAGGUUUCUCCUGUCCAUAUGUAGCUCGGGUCAAUUUAGAGCAUUGGUAGCCGUUAACGGAGCUACAAGAAACCACCAAGUCUUCUAUGUCAUUCUGACAACCGGGCUGCUGCAACAACUCGCUGCUGGUCAUGAUUGAUUCUUGUGUUAAAGGUGUGAUCUUGAUAUGGCCACUUAUCAAUCUUGUGCUGGUUCAUGGUGAUGAUUCCAAUAUGAUAUGUGAUUUAUUCGGUUUAUGGCUAAGGAAGUGAUGAUUUUAUUACCUCUUAGAUGCACAACAUUUCACACUUGACAUCAGGAUGAGGCAUAUGCCCAAUCCACUUCUGUCCUGACCUGGAACUGUACCCACCAGCUAUACAUUGUGCAAUAUUAAUCCUCAUAUUUCAUGAGAUUUUGUUCAAAUUGCAAUUUCGGGUCUGUCGGCUAUACCGUCAACUGGUGAUAUAUUUUUGAAGUAUUCCAUCUGUAAUGAAAUAUAAGAGCGUUUAGAUCACUACUUUAGUAAUCUAAACGCCAUCAUUUUUCUUUAUGGGGAGUACGUUCUUAUUCCUUUUCAAUUAUUUUCUCUUGAUGCUCUAGGCUUUAGUUGAACUCUUAACAUAUGUUUUUCUAUUUGAUUCCGAUCUCUCUGCCAUUACAUGGGACAUUGGGCAUAUAUCACACAUUGUUUUGGUAGCAGUUAUAGUUGAUUAUUAUCAAUAGUCAGCUCUAAAACAUCUGGAAUGGCUCAAGCACUAUUUAAAGUGUUGCUUAUGAGUCCCCCCACGAAGAUACCUAUCAACAACUCUGCUUUGUACUGUUACUUCUGUAGCACUGAAUGCCAUGCUAAAUCUUACUAUUUUGCAGGAUAAUGUCCCUGAGUAUAUAAACCUGUUAGCUUUCCUUAAUUGUUUAGAGAAAGAUAAUAGUGAUUGCGUUGGCACUGCUCAUGCCAUCCUAUCUUACAUGAUUUUGUUGGAUGGUUCAGUUAUUGUGAUUUCUCAAGUUAGGCAUGGUAUGUUUCCUCAACAUUUGGGUGUGUGUUUGUUUUUGGCUGUGCCUAAAUAUUGGUGUUUAUAUCGCAACGAAGUUGAUGCAUUACAAAAUUUCGGAUUUUCUCUAAUUUAAUGGCAUUGUCUCCUCCUUGUAGAAGAUGGUUCUAGGUGGGCUAUUGAAACAACGACAAUAUUCCAAGAAGGCUAAGAACAAUUGGAGAGCACAAGGAACAUAUUCCUAAUCAGCCAACAACCUUCUUUGAUACAUUAUUUGUUCACCGGAAGUCCAUGAAGAAGGAUGGAUACAGCAGAUGCAGAGAUCUACAUGUUGUUUCUGGGCAUAUUGGAGAUGUCACAAUAAAUGUUCAACCUUGUUAUCUGCAGACAAAUAAAUGAUUGUCUUGUUUGGUUUUGGAUUAUUAGAAGUUCCAGUCAUGUCAUGAAUCAUGAGUAAGUUUGUAAAAUUCUUUCUUAUGAGGCCUGAUAGAUUGUCAUUCAGUAUGCUGCUGCCACUUAGUAAUGUAACCUCAUAAGAGGUGGAGAGUAUUUAUUCUCAGGAUGAGAGCAAUAAUUAGAUUUUCCUUUAAUGCUAAAACAUUAUCUUGGAUUUUUGUACAAAAUAAUAUGACUGA